CCAAAAGCAGCUGGAGAAGGAAGAGGGUUGGUGCAAGGAGGAUUUUGUGUUUGGAGUUUACCAGCCUUCAGUGGCCUCCACAGCCAAGGGCCAGCUGGCAAGAAGGCAGCCUGUGAGGUUUUCAGCCGAG